UGGGGAAUAUUGGACAAUGGGCGCAAGCCUGAUCCAGCAAUGCCGCGUGUGUGAAGAAGGCCUGCGGGUUGUAAAGCACUUUCAGUGGGGAAGAACAGGUUCGGGUCAAUACCCCGGAGCCCUGACGUUACCCACAGAAGAAGCACCGGCUAACUCCGUGCCAGCAGCCGCGGUAAUACGGAGGGUGCAAGCGUUAAUCGGAAUCACUGGGCGUAAAGCGCACGUAGGCGGCACGUUAAGUCAGAUGUGAAACCCCUGGGCUCAACCUGGGAAUGGCAUUUGAUACUAGCGCGCUCGAGUCUGAUAGAGGGGGGUGGAAUUCCAGGUGUAGCGGUGAAAUGCGUAGAUAUCUGGAGGAACACCGGUGGCGAAGGCGGCCCCCUGGAUCAUGACUGACGCUGAGGUGCGAAAGCGUGGGUAGCAAACAGG
rnacentral:rRNA from 1 species